GGGCUGGGACUCAGUGGUAGAGUGCUUGCCUAGCGUGCAUGAGGCACUGGGUUUGAUCCUCAGCAGCACA
rnacentral:tRNA from 1 species